rfam:Oryza glaberrima chromosome 12 Oglab12_0074_4, whole genome shotgun sequence.
UUUAAAUACAACCAUAAAUUUCUAUAUCUAACAUCAUCUAUCUUACUUAAAUUUUCUAUGAUUAAUAUUUUUAUUGUUAUUAGAUGAUAAAAUAUAAAUAAUCCUUAUGCGUGACUUAUUUUUAAUUUUAAAUAAAACAGAUGGUCAAAUAUUUAAUACGGAAACUCAUAGCUAUACUUAAA